rnacentral:rRNA from 1 species
UACGUAGGGUGCGAGCGUUGUCCGGAAUUAUUGGGCGUAAAGAGCUCGUAGGCGGUGUGUCACGUCGUCGUGAAAACCUGCAGCUUAACUGUGGGCGUGCGGUCGAUACGGGCAUCACUGGAGUUCGGCAGGGGAGACUGGAAUUCCUGGUGUAGCGGUGAAAUGCGCAGAUAUCAGGAGGAACACCGGUGGCGAAGGCGGGUCUCUGGGCCGAUACUGACGCUGGAGGAGCGGAAAGCGUGGGGAGCAAACAGG